CCUACGGGGGGCAGCAGUGAGGAAUAUUGGUCAAUGGACGAGAGUCUGAACCAGCCAAGUAGCGUGAAGGAUGACUGCCCUAUGGGUUGUAAACUUCUUUUAUAAAGGAAUAAAACGAGGCACGUGUGCCCUUUUGCAUGUACUUUAUGAAUAAGGAUCGGCUAACUCCGUGCCAGCAGCCGCGGUAAUACGGAGGAUCCGAGCGUUAUCCGGAUUUAUUGGGUUUAAAGGGUGCGUAGAUGGGUUGUUAAGUCAGUUGUGAAAGUUUGCGGCUCAACCGUAAAAUUGCAAUUGAUACUGGCAGUCUUGAGUACAGUUGAGGUAAGCGGAAUUCGUGGUGUAGCGGUGAAAUGCUUAGAUAUCACGAAGAACCCCGAUUGCGAAGGCAGCUUACUAAACUGUGACUGACAUUGAUGCUCGAAAGUGUGGGUAUCAAACAGGAUUAGAUACCCCAGUAGUC
rnacentral:rRNA from 1 species